rnacentral:rRNA from 1 species
UAGGGAAUAUUGGACAAUGGGUGAGAGCCUGAUCCAGCCAUGCCGCGUGCAGGAAGAAGGCGUUAUGCGUUGUAAACUGCUUUUGCCAGGGGAUAAAAUGACCGUGCGCGGUUAAUUGAAGGUACCUGGUGAAUAAGCCACGGCUAACUACGUGCCAGCAGCCGCGGUAAUACGUAGGUGGCAAGCGUUGUCCGGAUUUAUUGGGUUUAAAGGUGCGUAGGUGGCCCUGUAAGUCAGUGGUGAAAUAUCUCAGCUUAACUGAGAGGGUGCCAUUGAUACUGCAGGGCUUGAGUACAGAUGAGGUAGGCGGAAUUGACGGUGUAGCGGUGAAAUGCAUAGAUAUCGUCAAGAACACCGAUAGCGAAGGCAGCUUACCAAGCUGUAACUGACGCUGAGGUGCGAAAGCGUGGGGAGCAAACAGGAUUAGAUACCCCCGUAGUCCCUGAGCGGGCUGGCAAGGCGCAU